UACCAGCACCCCGAGUGGUCGGGACGUUUAUUGGGCCUAAAGCAUCCGUAGCCGGUUCUACAAGUCUUCCGUUAAAUCCACCUGCUUAACAGAUGGGCUGCGGAAGAUACUAUAGAGCUAGGAGGCGGGAGAGGCAAGCGGUACUCGAUGGGUAGGGGUAAAAUCCGUUGAUCCAUUGAAGACCACCAGUGGCGAAGGCGGCUUGCCAGAACGCGCUCGACGGUGAGGGAUGAAAGCUGGGGGAGCAAACCGGG
rnacentral:rRNA from 1 species